UACGGGGGGGGUAAGCGUUGUUCGGAAUUACUGGGCGUAAAGGGCUCGUAGGCGGCCAACUAAGUCAGACGUGAAAUCCCUCAGCUUAACUGGGGAACUGCGUCUGAUACUGGAUGGCUUGGAUCCGGGAGAGGGAUGCGGAAUUCCAGGUGUAGCGGUGAAAUGCGUAGAGAUCAAGAGGAACACUCGUGGCGAAAGCGAGCUACUGGACAAUUCCUGACGCUGAGGCUCGAAGGCUAGGGUAGCGAAAGGG
rnacentral:rRNA from 1 species